AUACAUAUAUCUUAAAUUUAUAUAAUUUAUAAUAUAAAAAAAAGUAAUAAUUAUUAAUGUAUUUAAUUAGAGAGGUUGAGAAUAUUAGUUAUAGGUAAAAUUUUAAAUUAAUAUUAUUAUUUAAGUUUCUCUAGAAUUUAAGCUUUGAAAAUAAGAUUAUAAAAAAACUAGGAUUAGAUACCCUAUUAUUCUUUAUUUUAAAUUUUUUUUUAUUUAAGUAGUGUAAAUAAAUUAUUUUGUUAUAUAAUAUUUGAAACUUAAAAAGCUUGGCGGUGCUAUAUAUCCACUUAGGGGAGCUUGUUUAUUAAUUUGAUAAUCCUCAAUUAACUCUUACUUUUUUUUGAAUAAUUUAACAGUUUGUAUAUUGCUGUCGUCAGUUUAUUUCGUGAGAAUUAUUAAAAAACUUAAAAGUGAGUUUGCUAAU
rnacentral:rRNA from 1 species